ensembl:lncRNA
CGCUAGUCUGUUUUCCAAUAGGGAACACUGUAAACUGAAAGAGUUGCAUACUUCUUCACCCAGCACGGUCACUGAGCUGGCAAGCUAAAGUUAGCUAGUGAGUCACAGAAAUGUACGUUCAGUCUGUUAAUUAUUUCAGUCCGAUUGGACUUAUCCUACUCAAAUCAACAUGGCUCAACAUAGUUUUUUCGUUUUUGACCUCGACAUUCUUGUUGGAUAGAUACUUUGAUAGCUAACAUGUGGGCUAAUCUCCUUUGGAUGCCUCCAUCUAGUUCCCUAGAGCAGCAGACCGGCCCUCCAUUCCCAAACCUGAAGCCCCCUGUCCCCAGCAGGAAAUACCAAGAAAAACUUCCUAUUGAGGAAAUCUAAUCACUGAAUGUCCUACUACAAGGAUGUGGUCAGGUUGACACACUUAUGAGCCACAAUAACACAGAUCACACACACCAGAGAUUGCGAGGGCAAGUACAAUGAUCAGUUGGGAAAUUGAAGUCUGCUGCAUGGUUGCCCCACAUACACACACACUUAAUUUAGGUUAGUGUGUAGUCAAGGCUUUAUAGUUAAAAUAAUAUAGUGUCUAUCUUUCAGAUCUGUCAACCAGGUUCGGUGGGUGACAGGUAAGCGUGUUUCCACAAAGAUGUUCCAGACCUGGAGUGGCACGCUGGAACUUCCAGAGGCUUGUAGACCUGAAGCAGUGUGAGAUCUGACACCCCUACUAGCUCAACCACAGUUCUCACAGCUGCAGUCGUCUGCUCCUGCACCUGCUACACCGGCCACGACAGGUGAUUCAGAUCUGCCACCCCCAGCAGUCCUCUGCUGUGGUAUUUAAUUUACCGGCUACACCGGUUCCUACUACAUUGGCCGCGAAGGGAGAAUCUUUUGAGGAUUCCCAGAUGGAUACAGAUCUGCCAUGCACUCCACCACUACCCCAGACAGCCUCACCCAGAAGUGCAUGCACCGGGCCUAUCACAAAGCAGAGAUGGGUGGCUGACAAGGAAAAAUAAAAUAUAACAUGCACACACACUCUCUCUCUGUUACACACACAUUAUCCCCAAUGUAAAUAAAUUGUAAUUAUUUUAUUUUAGGAUUGGAGAUAUCUUACGCCUACAUAUCCAUUAUCAAUAGCUACAUAAUUACUCUAUCCAAUCAAAGUGUGAUUGAUAAUAUCCCACCCCACAAAAGUACGUGAAUAUGUAAAUACAUAGUAAUAACUCGUUUAUUUUAUGUUUGCUCCAUUUUAUUUGAGGAAAAUGUCUGCAAUAAAGUACAUUCACAUAAA